rnacentral:rRNA from 1 species
UACGAAGGGGGCUAGCGUUGCUCGGAAUCACUGGGCGUAAAGCGCACGUAGGCGGCUUCUUAAGUCAGGGGUGAAAUCCUGGAGCUCAACUCCAGAACUGCCUUUGAUACUGAGGAUCUUGAGUUCGGGAGAGGUGAGUGGAACUCCGAGUGUAGAGGUGAAAUUCGUAGAUAUUCGGAAGAACACCAGUGGCGAAGGCGACUUACUGAACACAUAUUGACGCUGAGGUGCGAAAGCGUGGGGAGCAACAGG